rnacentral:lncRNA from 13 species
CCUGGUUCUGCAGGCUGCACAGCAAGCAUAUAGCUCUGGCAUCGGUUUCUGGAGAGUCCUCAGGAAGCUUACAAUCAUGGCAGAGGUGAAGUAGGAGAAGGCAGUUAUGGUGAAGGGGUAAAGACCGCUUCCCAGACUUGUGGAGACAGACAUACCACAGGAACCUUCAUGAGCUAAACAAUUUCCCAGGAAGAGAGCAAGGCUUAAUCUAAAGGAAGGAAUUGCCUGAAAUAGAAGCAGUUUGCUGAGGUGAAACAAGUCUAGACUCUGAAA